rnacentral:rRNA from 1 species
GCAUAUCAAUAAGCGGAGGAAAAGAAACUAACAAGGAUUCCCCCUAGUAACGGCGAAGUGAAGCGGGAAGAAGCUCAAAUUUGAAAUCUAACGGACUCAGUCUGUUCGAGUUGUAAUCUAUAGGAACGUUUUCCGUGCCGGCUCAUGUACAAGUCCCUUGGAACAGGGCGUCAUAGAGGGUGAGAAUCCCGUACUUGACAUGAACUACCGGUGCUCUGUGAUACGUCUCCAACGAGUCGAGUUGUUUGGGAAUGCAGCUCAAAAUGGGUGGUAAAUUCCAUCUAAAGCUAAAUAUUGGUGUGAGACCGAUAGCGAACAAGUACCGUGAGGGAAAGAUGAAAAGCACUUUGGAAAGAGAGUUAAACAGUAUGUGAAAUUGUUGAAAGGGAAACGAUUGAAGUCAGUCAUGUCCUUCAGAUUCAGCUGGUUCUGCCGGUGUAUUUCUGUUGGAUGGGGUCAACAUCAGUUUUGGAUGCCGGAUAAAGGCUGGAGGAAGGUAGCACCCUCGGGUGAACUUAUAGCCUCCUGUCGCAUACGGUGACCGGGACUGAGGAACGCAGCUUGCCUUUAUGGCCGGGGUUCGCCCACGUACAAGCUUAGGAUGUUGACAUAAUGGCUUUAAACGACCCGUCUUGAAACACGGACCAAGGAGUCUAACAUGUCUGCGAGUAUUUGGGUGUCAAACCCGAGUGCGCAAUGAAAGUGAAUGUAGGAGGGAUCCGCAAGGAGCACCUUCGACCGAUCUGGAUCUUUAGUGAUGGAUUUGAGUAAGAGCAUAUAUGUUGGGACCCGAAAGAUGGUGAACUAUGCCUGAAUAGGGCGAAGCCAGAGGAAACUCUGGUGGAGGCUCGUAGCGAUUUCUGACGUGCAAAUCGAUCGUCAAAUUUGGGUAUAGGGGCGAAAGACUAAUCGAACCAUCUAGUAGCUGGUCUGCGA